GAUAUUUUGCCAAACCCUGAACGAUGGAUCAAUCCUAGUAAAGGUGAUUUCAGAAAAACACGUUACUUUCACUACGGAAAUCACAUUAAAAUUUCUAAGUACCUAAGCGAAAACAUUAUUCACACUGCUUCUACUUGGGAAAGUCUGUGAACGAUGUCGAAAGUUGAAAAGAGCAUAAGUUUUGAAACCAUACUGGAGGAAUUGAUGAGGAUUUCCAAACAUACAAUCUUGAACAGGAACUGCUUUCUGUCUAAAAAUAACGGUCCAGAUCAGUUCGUGCCAAGAAUUCAGCAUGUAAAGCUCUUGCUUGAAAAUCCAAGCCAACCAAUUUAUUACAUGAACGUGAACCAGAGCAUAGAGCAGAAUUCCCAGCUGCAUUUGAUAUUAUUAAUGUUUACAAGUUUGACGGAACUUGUUUUGUCCAACAUAAUAAUAAGCAAUCGUAUGAAGCAAAAAUAUAAAGAUUCUGAGGACGAGGAUUUAGAACCAGAAACUUCAUGUUUCCAUGCAAUAGUGCAAAAUAUUCCGAAUGUGAAAGCAUUGACGAUAAAUGCUGGAAUACUGGAGGACGCACAAUUGUGGGAUCUGGCCGCGCUUCGCAUGAUCGCAGGUUGGAGACACCUUACAAGUUUGCACCUGGUGAAAAUCCCGAUCAAAGAUGGUCAAUUCCUCGUGGAAAUAGCCGCACAGUGUAAAAAUUUGGAGAAAUUAAGGAUAUUAUAAUAUAAUAUAAUUAAGGAUUUAGGGCCGCAAUCAACGUGCUGUUACACAAAAGAGUUGAUGCAAAUGCUGACAGUUUGCCACAACUUGAAAGACUUCUCGAUUGAACAGAGCAACUUCUGCCAAAUACCUCGUUUAUUCGAAACUCUCGCUAAAAAUCUGAAGCUCAAAAGAGUUUCUCAAAAGUUUGGGCAGAUCAAGAAAGUCACCGAACUUGACACCCUUCAUUGAAAAGUUAAUAUGAUCUUGUGAACUGGUAUUGUUUGUGUGCCAAUAUAAAGGAUUGGCUGAUGAUGCUUGUGAGGAAUUGAAAUCGAUUUUACAGAGUUUAAAGGUUGAAUUGAGUCGCCCGAGUUUCCAGUUUGAUGUCAUUAGAUGCAGCGGUCCUGGCAAAAAUCACGUUCUCAACUUUGAUCUUCAUUACUGUCACAAAGAUUUACUGGUUCCUUUCACCUAUGUCGACUCGCUAUACCGCCUAAAUAGUUGAAGCAAUUCUUAAUUAUAUCUUUUUAUUAUUAUUUGUCAUUAGUUAUCAGGAAAAAAAUGUACCAAUCAUUUUUUGAUGUUGUAUAGUAAAUUAGAGGUACUUAUCAAUUUAUUUAAUGCCAAAAUAACAUGUUGACUUUAUA